rnacentral:rRNA from 1 species
UACACUCCUACGGGAGGCAGCAGUGGGGAAUUUUGGACAAUGGGCGAAAGCCUGAUCCAGCCAUGCCGCGUGCAGGAUGAAGGCCUUCGGGUUGUAAACUGCUUUUGUGCGGAACGAAACGGCCUUUUCUAAUAAAGAGGGCUAAUGACGGUACCGUAAGAAUAAGCACCGGCUAACUACGUGCCAGCAGCCGCGGUAAUACGUAGGGUGCAAGCGUUAAUCGGAAUUACUGGGCGUAAAGCGUGCGCAGGCGGUUAUGUAAGACAGUUGUGAAAUCCCCGGGCUCAACCUGGGAACUGCAUCUGUGACUGCAUAGCUAGAGUACGGUAGAGGGGGAUGGAAUUCCGCGUGUAGCAGUGAAAUGCGUAGAUAUGCGGAGGAACACCGAUGGCGAAGGCAAUCCCCUGGACCUGUACUGACGCUCAUGCACGAAAGCGUGGGGAGCAAACAGGAUUAGAAACCCCAGUAGUCCCAUGA